AGCGAUCCGGAGCAAACCCCACGAAAUAAACGUCCCAGUUCGGAUUGCAGGCUGCAACCCGCCUGCGUGAAGCUGGAAUCGCUAGUAAUCGCGGAUCAGAAUGCCGCGGUGAAUACGUUCCCGGGUCUUGUACACACCGCCCGUCACACCAUGGGAGCUGGUAACACCCGAAGUCAGUAGUCUAACCGCAAGGAGGACGCUGCCGAAGGUGGGAUUAGCGACUGGGGUGAAGUCGUAACAAGGUACC
rnacentral:rRNA from 1 species